rnacentral:piRNA from 1 species
UUGGAAGAAGUCAAAGUCAUG